CGCCGCCGCCGCCGCCUCGUUCGCUGCGCGGACCUCCCGCCCCCCGCUCCACGCGCUCUCUUUCAUCCAGAGAAGCCCUGGGCCGGAUGCCCACUACCCAAGGGGCAUCGGGGAGCCUCUGCGCCCUGGACACAAUAGCUCUCCAACUGGACAGUGUCAAUCAGCGUCGUCUGAGAGGACCCCGGAAAUGCCUGUGUCCCACCUGUCCCCGCAGGCGGUGAUGAAGCCCCCCUGCCCCAGCCCGAGCUACCUGUGAACAGCGCCCAGCGGGGCCGGGCCCCUCGCUGGUGACCCUGAACGCCGCCCCAGCCCCGCCGUGAGAAUUCAGCGAAGAAAGCUGAAGAAAAGUUGCGUGUCUCAGGCUGAGCAAAGUGGGGUGAGGGCUCCCCCGCUAGGAACAGCUGCCCUUAGGGAGCCCCCCCCCACGAUGGAACAGCUCUCGGCUUUAGAAGGUCGCCACUCCCUUGCACUCAGGAGACUCAAAUCUGAUUCCCUGCUCCGCCUGCCUUCCACCAUUGGUCAGCUUUACCAUGCGUUUCUCAAGACCCAAGGCACAGUAGGCGUAAAGUUGUCCUGAAACGGACAACACGAGUGUCAGAAGUAGGAAUGGCAGUCGACGGAGCUUGGUCUGGCAAUAGAAAGCCGAAGUGACAGGCAAGCACAAAAUAUAUGAAUAAGGCAAAGCUCUGCAUGAGCCAAAUAUCAAACUUUCAUCUCCUACCCACUUUGUUUUUGCUUAAAAACAGGAAGACAGACUAUCUUGUCAAGGGUCACCCCAGGAGGAGCAGUAAAUUCCCCAAAAAAGCAGAACAUAUUUUUAUGAUUUAAUUAACGCAGUUGCUCUC